CCCACAGCUUUAAGCUGGUAAGGCCCCUCAGAGAUGAUGAGGUGGAUAGGUCUGGAGUGGAAGCGCGGUGACGCGUGAAGCGGACAGAUACUAAUCGGCCGAGGGCUUAACCCAAA
rnacentral:rRNA from 1 species